GGGGAAGAGCCCUCCCCUGUAAGGAAGCGAGAGAGAUUUAUUAAAAAUCAUCAACUUCAAAUUAUUUGGAUGGAAACAUUGCCAAAUCAUAGAGAUGUUUGCUACCACCCGCACACCAAGCAGCUGGGUAACUAGAAGUGCAGGAUCAGCUUAUUCACCUCCGAAAGCCUGCAUGCAACCACUGAGGCCGCCUCUAUUUUUUACAUAGUUCUACUUGGUGUAUGUAACCCCACAGAGAAACCUGGAAGAAUGCAUGAAACCUAGUAAGGCAACCAGCACAUGCAACAGAAUGAACCGUUUCUUUCCAUCUGAAUGCCUAAAUGUGGACUCUGAUCCUUUCUACCAAGUCCUAAGUUUGGGAAAAGAGGACAAGGACAGGGGCUCUGUCCCAUAUCAUAAUGUGCUUGUGAAUGGCUAAAAUUACAAUGCUGAGAUAAGUGUGUGUAAUAAAAUAAUUGCAC
rnacentral:lncRNA from 1 species